CUCUCUCGGUUUCGCAGGAGGAGUUGAAGUUGGAGCAGCGGGCAGAUUCCUCUUUGAAAGGGUUGUUUGACAUGGUGUUGCCUGAAGACGAGGUAAAAAAUAAUUCCUGGGGUUAUUUUUUACACAAUGAACUGUUGGUCCGGAAAUGGAUGCCUCAUGGGAAAGAUUUCGUUGGAGAUCCCGUUAUUCAAGUCGUUGUGCCUGAUAAAUUCCGGGAGUCGGUGUUAAAACUUGCUCAUGACCAAUCGGGACACUGGGGAGUGGGAAAAACAUACGACCGGGUCCUGAGGCAGUUCUUUUGGCCGCGACUUAAGACAGAUGUAGCGUCUUAUAUUAAAACAUGUCACACCUGUCAACUCACGGGAAAACCGAAUCAGAAAAUUACACCUGCUCCUCUGCUCCCGAUUCCUGCAGUAAGUCAGCCGUUUGAUCACCUCAUCGUUGAUUGUGUCGGGCCACUCCCUCGCUCUCGUUCUGGUGCGGUAUAUUUGUUGACUGUCAUGUGCCAAAGCACCCGUUACCCUGCAGCGUAUCCAUUGCGCACGAUCACUGCGCGUUCAGUAGUGCGCGCGCUGUCACAAUUCAUUUCCAUUUUCGGCAUUCCAAAAGUGAUCCAGUCUGAUCAAGGAUCAAAUUUUACCUCCAAUCUCUUUGCUCAAGUGUUGAAACAGCUCCAUAUUAAGCACAACAAAGCCUCUGCUUAUCAUCCUCAGAGUCAGGGAGCUUUGGAGCGUUUCCAUCAAUCAUUAAAAUCAUUGCUGCGCUCUUAUUGCGUUCAGUUUGAUAGAGAUUGGGAGGAAGGAUUACCAUGGUUAAUGCUGGCGGCCAGAGAGGCAGGAGAGCACUGGUUUCAGUCCCAAUGAGUUAGUGUUUGGUCACGUUGUGCGUGGGCCACUGAAGGUUCUUUACGAUGAGUGGAAGGUUGCAGAUGCACCGAAAAAUCUUAUAGACUAUGUAAAUGGGUUCCGUCAUAGACUGUAUGCUGCUGGUGAAUUGGCAAAGGAAAACUUAACCGCAGCUCAGGAGAAAAUGAAAAGUCUCUAUGACCGGCGUGUUGAACACCGUGUUUUUAGUAUGGGAGACCAAGUUUUAGCUUUGUUGCCGCUGGUGAAUUCGCCACUUCAGGCUAAGUAUUCGGGGCCUUAUAAAGUGACGAAAAAAGUAUCGGAAAACAAUUACCUUAUUUCGACACCUGAGCUAAGGCGAAAAGUCCAACUGUGCCAUUUGAAUUUGUUAAAACCAUAUUAUGCUCGUGUUUCAGGUGCUUCUCAAGAGCCUGUCCCAGCUGGUGCGCAUCCCGCUUGUUUGGUGGGGAGAGUGUCCACUGUUUAUCCCCCACAGUCGGUGUCCGCUGAGGUGGAGGAUGGCUUGCCGUGUGUUGAUACCGCUGUCCUUCAAGGCCGCCUAAACAACUCGGAGUCCCUGAGGAAUUUACACGUCCUCUUGGGGCAUUUAGCAGAGUCAGAACAGGCAGAUUUGUGUCGGGUAAUAAAAUCUUUCCCGGGCUUGUUCAGUGACGCACCCACACGGACACACUUGAUUGAGCACGACAUCGAUGUUGGAGAUGCGCAGCCAAUCAGGCAAAGAUUCUAUAGGGUGAACCCCGAAAAACGUAAAUACAUGGAUGCUGAAAUAAAAUAUAUGAUUGAAAACGGAAUAGCUGAACCCUCCUCUUCAAGUUGGGCGUCGCCUUGCCUUUUGGUUCCAAAAUCAGAUAACACGCCCAGGUUUUGUUCUGAUUUUAGAAAAUUAAACGCUGUUACAAAGCCGGAUUCCUUCCCUCUUCCCCGUAUGGAGGACUGUGUCGAUCAGGUGGGCCAUGCCAAAUAUGUGAGCAAGUUUGACCUUUUGAAAGGUUAUUGGCAAGUCCCUUUGUCCAAGCGUGCGCGUGAGUUAUCGGCAUUUAUCACUCCGACUGGUUUGUUUUCAUAUAAGGUAAUGCCUUUUGGGCUUCGUAAUGCCCCUUCAACCUUCCAAAGGCUUAUGAUUAGAGUCUUAGGAGAUUUGGAGGGCUGCACAGUCUACCUGGAUGAUGUUGUGGUUGUUUCUGACACGUGGUCUUCGCAUGUUGAGCGAAUUGAGAAGUUAUUUAGUCGUUUGGCUGAGGCACGUCUCACCGUCAACCUCGCCAAAUGCGAGUUCGCCAAAGCGACAGUGACUUAUCUUGGUAGGGUUGUGGGGCAGGGUACGGUACGUCCUGUUGAAGAAAAAAUAAAAGCAGUGGCAAGUUAUCCGGUACCCUCGACUAAAUAAGAGCUUAUGCGUUUUUUAGGUCUUGUAGGUUAUUACCGAUGUUUCUGCAGAAACUUCUCGGAGGUAGUUGCUCCAUUAACCGACUUGUUAAAGGCAAGCGCGGUCUUUGUGUGGUCUCCCGUGUGUCAACUGGCGUUUGACAGGGCAAAAUCAGUAUUGUGUAACACGCCUAUCCUUUCUGCCCCCAGGUUUGACCGUCCGUUUGCGCUUCAGGUUGACGCGAGUCACGUGGGGGUGGGGGCGGUGUUAUUACAGAAGGAUGAUUUUCGGAUUGAGAAGCCAGUGAGUUUCUUCUCAAAAAAGUUUAAUUCCUACCAACUCAAUUACUCGACCAUUGAAAAGGAAGCCUUGGCCUUAGUGUGGGCUCUGAAACAUUAUGAUGUGUAUCUGGGGUCCGGGUUGGUGCCUAUCGUGGUUUAUACUGAUCAUAAUCCGCUUGUUUUUUUAAAUACGUUACAGUGUCCAAAUCAAAGAUUAGUCCGGUGGUCACUUUAUCUCCAGUCGCACUGGCUGGACAUUAGACACAUCAAGGGCUCUGACAAUGUGGUGGCAGACGCCUUGUCCAGAGCACCUGUGUAGUGUUGUAGCCGUGUGAGUUACCCAUGUUUUUUGUUUUUUUGUACUCUUUCUGCAACUUGUUUCCCUCGUUUCCCCCCUCUUAAAUUGCUCCUAGGUACCAGGUUGCUGAGGUGGGAGGGGUGUCAUGCAGGUCAGGAUGGGGAUAUAAAUAAUGAGCAUUGGGUAAGUUUUCUUGAAGAGAGUAAAAUGAUAUUGUGAGCCUG
rnacentral:lncRNA from 1 species